rnacentral:lncRNA from 1 species
UUGGUGAUCAAUGAGAAUAAAUUACAGUGUCACUCUUAAAAUUUCUUUGUAUACUUGUAGACACCCUGUUUAGUAACUUGAUCUCUUAGUUUCAUGACCUUCUUGCCUCCAUUGAUCCUGUCCUUUUCAGCAUCUAUCCCAUGAUUGUUUCCUUGGUCUUGUCAUUACUAAUAAUUACAUGCUCUCUAAAAUCUUUAUACUAGGUUUUUCAGUCUUUACCACAUCUUCCAGGUUCUUUAAUUCAGUAUUCUUGCUCCAGCUUAGUUUAGACUUCAAGAUUUACUAUUUUAUUCUUUCCCAGCAUAUCUUUCCUUUUGUCAUACGUACCGUACCUUAGAAGGACUUCAACCUUGGUUACAUUCUCCUUAGCAUCUUUGCAGUGUACCUACACUUAUGAGGUAUAAAUGAAGAAGCUGGAGAAAAACAGUCAUUCUGCUUUGUUCACUCUAGAUAGAUGGUUCUCAGUAUAUGACUGAACAGUUCUACUAGGUUUUCAUAUCUCCCACUUUACCUCUUUUUACAUUAUUUCACAUAAUUUCCCCCUUUUUAUGCCUCAUUCACACCUGAUGACUUUGUUUCAUAUAUCAGGGAUAUUUCUGAAGUAAUCAGAAAACAACUCAAAUUCCCUCCAUCCACCUGCAUCUGUGUCUGUUUUGUUUCCUUCCUUGUGAACUGCCUUUGUAUCUAGGCCCAUCUGCUUGUGAACUAGAUUCCAUCCUCUCCCUUAGUCAGAGCUGGCUCCCCUUUCUCCUAUAUUAUUAGCUUUUCUUCUAUUGCAUCAUUCCCACACACAUAAACACCUCCCAUUCCAUAGCUGUCCUUUAUAGGAAAGAGCUUUUUAUAUUUCUAUCUCCACUUCCUCUCUUCCCAUUCUCUUUCAGACUGUUUCAAUGAUUUCUAUUGUGAUACUUUCAUCCUAUCUUGCAGAAAUUGCUACUCUUGUCAAGGUCAACAGUUAUCUGUAUGUGACCACAUCUGAUGAUAAAUUAUUGGUGUUCUUCUUCCUGGACCUUCAGACUAAUAACAAAAUUAAUCAUUCUCCAUAAAAUAGCUUUUUCUUCGCCUUCUAGGAUACUGAUUUCUUGGUUUUUUUCUUCUACCACGGUGACUGUUCCUUUCCUCUCGCCUCUUGCUUUUCGGCUUAAUCUGAGAUGAUGGAGUAUUUGGCCAUUGGACUUCACAGGACUCUAUAACUUUGAUUAAAUUUCAUCUACAUACUGGUAAUUCCCAAAUUUAUAUAUCCAAUACUUUUUCCUCCACUGUCACCAGGCUGUACCCUAACUGUUUACCCAAUAAUAAAUCUAGAUAUUUGAAGCAGUUAAACUUGCUUGUCCAAAAUUAAAUUCUUACUUUCCAUAUCUGUUCCUCUCUUUCUUCCUCAUUCUAGUAAAUAACUGUUUUAGCCUUUCAUCCUGUGACAAAAUGCCUAAGAAAUGUGUCUGUAAGGCAGAAAAGUUUAUUUUGGUUCGCAGUUUUAGAGGAUUCAAUUGAUGGUGGAUUGUGGUGAGGCAGAACAUCGUAGAAGGUAUGGCAAUGAAAAGCUGCUCCACUUCAUGGUGGCUAGGAAGCAGAAAGAAAGAGAAAAAGUAGCCAGGGACAAGAUAGACCUUUCUAGGUCACAACCACCAGUAGCCUACUGCUGUAACUAGGCCCUACCUCCUAAGGUUUCUACCACCUCCCAGUAGUCCAUUCACAGGUGACCCAUCAAUUGGAUAAUCCAUUGAUGUAGUUAGAACCCUCAUGAUCCAGUCACUUCACACAAGCCCACCUCCAAAUAUUGCUGCAUUGGGUACUAAGUCUUCAAUACAUGAGCCUUUAGGGGACAUUCCAGAUCCAAACCAUAACAACAACAGUUCCACUUUUCUAAUUGUUUGGACUUAGAUUCAGAAAUGUUCUUGAUUCUUUUCCUUUCUUCCACAAUUAAUGUUCCCAUUGAGUCAACAUUGAGAAUUUAUCAAGAACAUUACCACUUCCUACCACUGUAUCACUACCAUCCAAUUCUAGCCUUGCCUGGCCAGUUGGAAGAGCUUUCUAGAUGAAGUCUUUGUUUUCACUUUUGGCCCCUGUAGUCUGUUCUCAACACAGAAGUCAGAGUAAUCGUUUAAUUAUGGUACAAAGCAGACUAUAACACAUUCUUCUGAUCAAAACUCACCAUUUGGUUUAUAUCUCACACAGAAUAAAAUCCAUAAAACUCAUGUGAUUAUUAAUAGAUAGGUUUUUAUAUAAUAGCUCUUCCAUUGUAAUUGCUGGUCUUAAUUACACUAAUUCUUUCUCCACAGUUUCAUCUAAUAAUUCCUCAACUUUGAUAGACUCAUUGUAUAGAUAGUAGACAAAAAUAAAAGCUAUUUUUGAAUAGCUCUGUAGAGCAUUCAAAGUGGCCCACAUUAAGUGUGAGACUAAUACCUCUCUUAGUUCUAGCAGUAGUGGAGAUUUGUUGAUACUUAGUGAACUUUUCCAG